AUGAAUUUCAAAAGAGAAAAUUGAUCAGGUAUUACGCGAGGCAGAUGAUCUCAAAAGGUGGUUAGAUGACAAGGAGGCUGAGCAACAAAAGUUAUCUGCAUCCAACACCCCGGCUUAUACUUCUCAAAAGGUUAUCGACAAGCUGCUAGAUCUUAAAGACAAGGUUGCAAGCACAAAUCAAAUCCCGAAGCCAAAACCAAAAGUCGAGAAACCAACUGUUAAGAAUAAUGAUUCCAAACAAGAGGAAACAGUUGAGAAACCAACUGAGAGUCAAAUAGACGAGUUAAAAUUAUUCAUGAAUUUGUUUCACCCUGCGUAGCAAGACCUCAACUACAUGAAAAUACAAAGUAAUCAAUCC